GACGAACGCUGGCGGCGUGCCUAAUACAUGCAAGUCGAGCGAAUCAAUAGGAGCUUGCUCCUGGUGGUCAGCGGCGGACGGGUGAGUAACACGUGGGCAACCUGCCUGUAAGACUGGGAUAACACCGGGAAACCGGUGCUAAUACCGGAUAAUCCUUUUUCUCUCAUGAGGAAAAGCUGAAAGUCGGUUUCGGCUGAUACUUACAGAUGGGCCCGCGGCGCAUUAGCUAGUUGGUGAGGUAACGGCUCACCAAGGCGACGAUGCGUAGCCGACCUGAGAGGGUGAUCGGCCACACUGGGACUGAGACACGGCCCAGACUCCUACGGGAGGCAGCAGUAGGGAAUCUUCCACAAUGGGCGAAAGUCUGAUGGAGCAACGCCGCGUGAGCGAUGAAGGCCUUCGGGUCGUAAAGCUCUGUUGUUAGGGAAGAACAAGUACCGGAGUAACUGCCGGUACCUUGACGGUACCUAACCAGAAAGCCACGGCUAACUACGUGCCAGCAGCCGCGGUAACAC
rnacentral:rRNA from 1 species